UCGGGUUCGGGUCUGGCUUUACCCAACCGUAGGCAAAAGGGUGUUGUAUUAAAGCAAAUGAAGGGUUCUCUUGAGUCUUGAUACUUGUACUACUCAUCUGAACUGUGUUUUCUGCGAAGACUGAAAGAGAUCAGGAGUUCUUGACGUCUGGAGCCUCGACUGCAAUAUAUAUUUGGUAUAUACAUGAAGAGAGGCUUCAUAGCUCACAGGAUGGCAUGAUGAACCCAGGUGCAGAUCAUGAUAUAUAUCACCAUAGAACAAAAAAAAUUGUAAAUUUUGCAUUUUAUUUUGGUUUUGUAGACAGUUUUGUUUGCCUUAUGAAGAGAUCAGUCUAUAAUAAAUCAAUUGUUUUUCAUUAUAAAUGAGUUCUUGCUCCAGUCAA